rnacentral:rRNA from 1 species
GGGGUGCUCGAGUGGCGAACGGGUGAGUAACACGUGAGUAACCUGCCCUUGACUUUGGGAUAACUUCAGGAAACUGGGGCUAAUACCGGAUAGGAGCUCCUGCUGCAUGGUGGGGGUUGGAAAGUUUCGGCGGUUGGGGAUGGACUCGCGGCUUAUCAGCUUGUGGUGGGGUAGUGGCUUACCAAGGCUUUGACGGGUAGCCGGCCUGAGAGGGUGACCGGCCACAUUGGGACUGAGAUACGGCCCAG